AACAGAUCAGCUAAAAUCCAUGAAUAAUUUAUGCUUGUUCUGUUCACUCCCAAGAAUGUCACUGCGGAGCUCUGCGAAGUCUCCAGUCUCCGUUGUAAACGAACCCAAGGCCUUCAGAUCCACAGGACCCUGGUGGUAAGAGACAUGGAAAAUAUCAGAAAGAAAAGAGAAGGAAAACUGGUCCAUCUUCGCAAUAACAUCACAGAUGCCCAUGUGUUCUUCACCUGAAGUCAAUUCCUUGGACAACCUUGCUCUGACGUGUCAACCAGUGGGUUCAAGUAGAGAAGGCUGAGCCCAAAGUGCACAACAGUGGGUGUGUCAUUAUACACCGACCAGGACAACCAACAAACACACAGGCACACAAUCCCAUUCUAAAAUGGGCAAAGGACCUGAACAGAUGUUUCUCCAAAGAAGACAGACUGGCAGCUGAUGAACAUGAGGAAAGAUGCUCAACAUUACUGACCACUAGGGAAACGCCAACCAAAACCACCAUGAGACACCACCUCACACCCAAUAGGGUGGCUCCCAGAAAAUAAGACCAGAAACCAACUGUUGGUGAGAAAGUGAAGCAACUGGAAGCCUGAGCACUGUUGGUAGGAAUGUAAAUUAGUGCGACUCCUUUGGAAAACAGUCUGAUGGUUCCUCAAAGAAUUAAAAAUGGAAUUAUCCUAUGAUCCAGCAAUUCCAGUUGUGUGUAUUCCCAAAAGAACUGAAAACAGGGACUUGAAAAGGUAUUUGUACACCCAUGUUCAGAGCAGAGUUAUUCACAACAGCCAAAAGAUAGAAGCAAACCAAGUGUCCAUCAGUGGAUGAUGGAUAAGUGAAAUGUGGUCCAUCCACAUGAUGGAUGAUGAUUCAGCCUUAAAAAGGAGGAGAGUCUGACACCCACUGAAACAUGGGUGAACCUCGAGGACAUGAUGCUAAAUGACACAGCAGACAUGAAGGAACACACAGUGUAAGAUCCCACUUCUAUAAGGACCUGGAAGGCUCUCUCUGACACUUCAGCCACGUGAGAUCUGAAGAGCAAACCGCAUGCUGGACACAGGAAAUGAGGUGCAACCCUUCAUUCCUACAUGUGCAAUGGCCUCCCUGGAGAAGUGUCAGGGGUUUCUUCAUGACCACAUGAGCUCAGGACUCUGCCCAGUGACCGGGCCAUCCUGUCUGGGAAGGGGCAGCUGCAGAGUAGGACGUCACAGCCUGGCCACGUCCUCCGGGUGGUGUGAUGGACCCUGGGGACACUGAGCUUGGGGUCCUGGUCAGCAGGGUCCUCUGUGGUCAGUCACGCACCGUUCACUAUAAAUCCUCAGGCAUUUUUCUUGUUCCCAACUGGGAGAGGA